rnacentral:rRNA from 1 species
GGUGACCUCGAUCAGGUAGAA